rnacentral:lncRNA from 1 species
ACGGGAGGAAUAAUUAGGCAGUAUGAUUUUAUUUAUUUUCACUUAUGCUAUUCCUUGAGCCUACUGCUUCCGAUGGAGGCCAUAGAUUCUAUGAAUUUUGGGUGCAGCCGUUUGAAGACGACUUCACGGACAUUCUACAGCCAGUUUGGGUGGCGCGCGAGUUUAGACUGGAUAAUGGUUGAUUUAUUUCAUUUUUUUUGCGAUUUCUUUUUAGCACUAUUGAGUUGUAGUUUUUGAUGAUGCUACAAUAUUUUGUUUAAUAAUAUUAAGAUCGAUGCAGAGCGGGGGUAUUCCUUCCUUUAAAAAAAUGCUAUUCCUCUAGUGAUACAUGACUAUUCUUCGUCACGGACGCUGUGACCUAGCUGCCAGAGUGGCUAGAGACACGGGACGGAAAAAAAAUGGAAGAGAUCCAAGUCCAAACAGGAGUAGAAAAGAUCAAGCGCUUCGAGUUAUGCCAUUUUUGUCUCCGUGCCUCGUUAGCCCCGCUCACGCGCUUAAUUGCUU